CAGCGACGGCUAAGCUCUAGCUUUCCCUGUUUGGGGGGAGGGAAAGAGAGGCUUAGGACUAUGAUUAAACAGAGCGAUCAGCUCCUUCCUUAUUCUGGAGAAGCAAAAGUUGUGCUCUUUUUCCUUCUGUCGUUUCCAGAGAUUGUCUUCCAGGGCCCCACGAGAAGAAGCCGCCUGGCGUGUCCUUCCUGCACACAGAGGGGCCCAGGGAGCCCUUGCCUAAGCCUGCCUCGGGCUUGUCACCCCGGUUUCCUGAGAUCCAGACCGCUCCUCCUCCCAGCCGUGCCUUGCUCUCCAGAGACCAUACAUCAUAGCGGCAACCCACCUUCGGAAUGGGCUUUUGUCAUUUUUCCGUGCUGGGAUGGGAGCCAACCGUUGCCGCAAACCCUCUGAGCCUGAAGGAGCCGAACCAGCUGGUGAUGUUCCUGGAGCGUUUGAAAGUGAUAUCCUAUUUCACAGAAACCGAAGACAAUGGUUUGAUGUUUUAAAAUGGUCCCAGCAUCUGCGGUAAGCAAGCGAGGCAGGCAGCCUGGUUGAGGAAGAAAGGAAAGCCUGGAAAGCCUUAACUUAGGCUCCCAGCCACAGCUGCAAGAAAGCAGCCCCCAGCUUCUCACCCACAUCUCAUUUGGACAUUUGAUCAAUGAAUCCGUAUUUUGUGCUCCUGAAACUGGGUCUUGCUUUGCGGUCCUGGUGAGCCUUAAACUCAGCAGCCUCCUACCUGAGCUCCCCCCUUCCCCAUGUGCUGGGGUGACAGGCAGGGACACGAUGGACAUGUGUCCAUCUCCUCAUGUCCAUCUCGUCGUUCGUAUGUUCAAAUGGGUAAGAAUGCAUGAGGAGAACCUUUCUAUUUGUUCUACGAAUUGAGCCGUAAAGUCGAGCAUAGUGAACAAGACUGUCACCUCAGCAUUCAGGAGGCUGAUGCAAGAGAGCCUGUGGUUUUAUAACAGGCUGGACUACACAGGGGGAAAAGAAGAAGAAGAAGAAGAAGAAGAAGAAGAAGAAGAAGAAGAAGAAGAAGAAGAAGAAGAAGAAGAAGAAGAAGAAGAAGAAGAAGAAGAAAAACCCAAACCACCAACUGGAUCCUUUCCCCACGCUGAUAUGUCUUCUCGGAAAACACUGAUGUAGUCUGCACUUCCUAUCUUUCCUUGACUCACAAAAAGUCUCCUAAGACAGACAAAACAGUGUGAUUCCACUUCCAUUGUGCAUUAGUGUCGAGUUACAACAGAAACACCGGCUUGGGUAGAGCCCCGACCUAGGCCGUUUAUCACCUCUGCUCGUCUCUCCUCCCGGCAAGCCCAGCAGACUCUCUACGCGUACAGCACAAUUCACAGAAAGCCACAUGUGCGGAAGUCGCGGGGAGCUGUGCUUCUACACGUGAAUGUCAAGCUGAGAAAGCAAGUUAGAUUCUAAAUGCCAAUUAGGAAAAUUAAGAUUAAAAAAACAACAAGCCAAGCGUGGUGGUUUAUGUUAUAGUCUCAGCUAUUCAUUCAAAUUGUUCCCAAGUUCAAGACCAGCCUUGGCCAAAAGUAAAUGACUAGUGAGCGGUGGGUGGACCUUUGGUAGCGGGGCCUCAGAGCUCUGGGUUUGCUCUGGGUCUCCUGGCUUUUCUCACUUUGCCAAAGCUGUUCACACGCUUUCAGAUAACCCAGUCACGGAAUGUCAUUUAAGUGUGUGCUCCAAGGAGUGCUUACAGAAGGGGAUGGUACUAUUUAACCAACACUUGCAGACGUGGGCUGUGUUAACUAGGCGAUUCCGUAUGAUCUCAGUGUGAGGUGUACCCAGGACACUAAUUCAUAGUUGGAAGAGUUCAACCAUGUUCAGAGAGCCCUUGAUGAGUUCUGGCAUUAUCAGACACCAAGUUUGGAAACUUUAUCCUGGGAAGCAUUUUAAAAUAAUGUUUUUUUAAAUUUUAUUCUAUAAAUUCUGUACGUUUGUAUACUUCGAUUAUAUUCAUUCAUUAUGACUCCUUCACACUUUCCCUGGUGCCCCUCCCCCAUCUCUCUUGUGGCUUCAUGGCCUCUCUUUUCCUUUUGUUAUUAAUAACCAUCUAAGGGCUGGAGGGACGGCUCAGCAGUUAAGAGCACUGCGCUUUUCCAGUCCUGAGUUCAAUUCCCAGCAACCACAUGGUGGCUCACAACCAUCUACCCUGGGAUCUGAUACCCUCCUCUGUCAUGCAGGUGGAGCACUGAAUGAUAGGUGCAGCAUACAGAUAGAGCACUCAUAUCCAGAAAAAAUAUGUCUUUAAAAAAUUACCACCCAAGUCCAGUUAUUGUUGCCUGUAUGUGUAUGGCUGGGGACAUUUUCUGGGUCGUGAGCAACCUACCAACUCCUAGGCUCUGAGAGGAGAGUGACUCUUUUUCCCCCAGUAUCCAUUCACCUGCCCAAACUACCUUUGCCAAAGGUGGGACCCCUUCCCCACUCAUGUUAGAAUUUUCAUUGGCUUCAAAAGUAGUAUUUAUUUAUUUUUGUGGAGCUAGAGACUGAGGGCCAUACAUCUAAGCAAGUGCUCCACCACAGAUCUAACCCUAGCCAGCAGAUUACCAUUUUUUUGGAAAACAUUAAAUAGAGAUUAUAAAUGUCACUUAGGUUUAUGUUACAUGUGUAUUCAUAGGAACUCGCAUGCAGCAGGUUAAAAUCCUGAUUAGUAGGUAUGAUUUAAAGCCAAUGGCUUUGAAGAGGCAAUUCUAUCAAUUUCGGCUGAGCCUAGGACCCAACAAAUGUGCCUCAAAGUAGUGUGGGCGCUCUAUGAAUGGAGAUGUCUAGGUGCUUCCAUAAUAAUAGGGUAGACUGUCUUUCGUCUCUUCAUACCUGGCCUUGCUCUCAGUAUGAAAAAUUACUCUUUUAAAAAUAUAAUUCCUUGUCAGCCACUAACUUUGUUUACCUAGUAUACUGAUGUCUGGGUAAAAACCCUCUUUGGGCCUCAGUCCCACCAUUGAUUUUAAUUCUCCUUUUGAGAUAUUGUUUCUGCAUCCCACAUCUUCUGUAGUACAGGAACUCCCCUAGCAAUUGGCUGAUGUUCUCUGUGGACACAGCCUGAUAUGUAGUUUCUAAUAGGGAAAGGUGAGCAUGACCUUGGGGUGAUGACUUCAUUUAGGUUCUUAGUUGUAGCUUUUCUUGUUUACUUCUGAAUUCAAAUACUAUAUGUGUUAAAUAGAUAAACAACAUAUAUGUUUACUUAUGCUUUCUUUUUGAUUACAAAUACACUAAAAGUCAUUAGGAAAAGCUGAUACACACAGGACAUCAGAGCACAGCAUUCUUAGAACUGAGUGGGUGUUAGCUUUGGCUCCUCUGUGUUGUUUUCAGCUCUGAGAAUCUUCCUGUAUAGCUGGGGUAACAGGGCCACCUUGCCCUUGGACUGUUAGACCCUGAGUUCUCAGGUUGAUCCGGCGUUAGACCCUGAGUUCUCAGGUUGAUCUGGCUCCUGACUCUGGUUUGCAGUCUGUAUUUCACCAGAAUGCUGUCUGUCUCUUCGAUGUUUUGGUGCCAGCCAAAGAAAUGACUUUUUCUGUUCUAGUCAUCACCCAUUCCUCAUGUUCUGACCCCCUGUGCCCUCUCUUCUCAUUUGCUUCUAACCUUUCACUUGACAAAUGACUUCUUUCUUACUCUCCAAGUCUCCUUUAAGAGCCCUUUUUCUCAUGAGCAGUAGUGCUGAUAGAAUCUUUCCCCUUUCUAACUUAGUUUUUGGUUUUCAUAUCAUAUGUCUCAUUUCUCAGAUGUUCCGGGGUUCAUUACAACAAUCAACAAACAAAAUAAUUACUCUUGUAAAAAAGUAACAAAAUGCCUUACUGAGACUAGAGACUAGAAUCUCAAAGCACUAAGCUUAGAUUCUGUGCUCUUCCUUCAAAUAAAAAUGCCUCUCACUGCUCCCCUAACGAAAAACCAAGAUCUGAGCAGGACAUUUUGUGUAAUCUUGUAUAAUACAUUGUACUCACUCAUGGCCAUUCAUCUGAUUCAUUCUGAGUUUGUUCUGGGAGCACAUCAGAUUGGAGUCUUUAAACAUUUUCCGUCC